CACGUAGGCGGAUCGGAAAGUCAGAGGUGAAAUCCCAGGGCUCAACCUUGGAACUGCCUUUGAAACUAUCAGUCUGGAGUUCGAGAGAGGUGAGUGGAAUUCCGAGUGUAGAGGUGAAAUUCGUAGAUAUUCGGAGGAACACCAGUGGCGAAGGCGGCUCACUGGCUCGAUACUGGCGCUGAGGUGCGAAAGCGUGGGGAGCAAACA
rnacentral:rRNA from 1 species